rnacentral:lncRNA from 1 species
CAGGAAGCCGCUGUGGGCGGGGCUGCUGCUGGGGCGGCGGCAUCUCGGGGCAUCUGGCGGCCUAGGCCCUGCAGAGGCCAGUCAGGCUCCUUGGGCUGGGGGGGCACACCUGCCUCAUCCCCACCCCCAACGUGGCGCACAGGCCCAGGCUGAUGGCGCUGAGCUUGGAGAAUCCCCGAUUCUGAGAUAGCGACACGUCCCAGAGGCUUUGAGAACAAAGUGGUCCCUCGGGGCCUCAGUCCGGGCACAGAUGGAAAGGAGACUGGGUCCCAGGGGCCCACGAGCCCUCCGGAGUGGGCACUCCAGGCCUGAGGGUUGAGCCCUGGGUCGUGACCUUCCUCCAGCAGGAUUUCUCUGGGGAGGUGGGCCGGGGACCAGGGGCUGGUGCUGGAGCCUCCAGGUCGGCUCGGGGACCUGCCUCAGCAGAGGCUGCACGGCCCGUACCUCAGCUGCCUGCGUGCUGAUGUGUGACCCCUGAGUGUGGUCAGGGAGCCCGCCCUCUUUCCUUAAAAACCUACCACACUCCCGGAUGCCCAUCUCUGUGCUGCAGGCUGGGAAUGACCAAGACAGGUCCUUAACUGGCACAUGACCUGGUCACAGGCGGUGGCUUGUGCUGAGGGCACAGCUGGGGCAGGGCGAGGACAGCCACGUGCCCUCCUGGAUGCCACUCGCUGGGCCAGAGGGGGCACAGGCUGUCUUGCCUCCAUGGCCCCAAUCCACCUGGAGACGUGCACACAGCAGGGCAAGCGGUGCCCACAUUGCCAACCCUGAGGGCAGGGCCACGGCGACCCCAUCAUGACUGCCAGAUUCCAGGUAGAAGGGAGGCUGACUUUAAAAACUGCACAACCUGAUCGUUGAGAGGUGACCAGGAGCGGGAUUGCUGGAUUGUACGGUAGCUCUGAUACGGGAAAGACGAUACCGGAUCCGGGCUCUUGUCCACGGCCGUCGAGGAAUGAACUCCGAGAACACACAGGGAGCAAGCAAGCAGAGCUUUUAUUACAGGAAAGCAGAUGGCUCCCAGACGGAGUCACGGGGCUUAGGGAUGAAUGUCCAUCUGGGAGCAGGUGCACUCCCUACCCUCAACAAGGCCCGUGGGGAUGCUCGUCCCCGGAGCCCUUAAGCCACAGGCGUUCAUCCGUGGCCACAUCGAAGAAGGUACGGAAGCCCCUGCUCCUGCACCGACGGCCUGGCUCCCGGCAACGCCGGAUCCUUAACCCACGGAGCGAGGCCAGAGAUGGAACCUGCAACCUCACGGUUCCCAGUCGGAUCCAUUUCCGCUGUGCCACGACGGGAGCUCCCUUUGUGUGCGUUUUGAGUGCCUCAAAGCCAUGUGGUCGGAAGGCCAGUUGUACAACGGGCCUCAGCCUCUGGGGCCUGUUCACGGCUGGGAGUCCAGCUGCCCCCUCUCACAGGCAAGACGACCAGGCCGAAGCUUUCCCACACCCUUGA